UACGUAGGGUGCAAGCGUUAAUCGGAAUUACUGGGCGUCAAGGGCUCGUAGGCGGCCAACUAAGUCAGACGUGAAAUCCCUCGGCUUAACCGGGGAACUGCGUCUGAUACUGGAUGGCUAGAGGUUGGGAGAGGGAUGCGGAAUUCCAGGUGUAGCGGUGAAAUGCGUAGAUAUCUGGAGGAACACCGGUGGCGAAGGCGGCAUCCUGGACCAAUUCUGACGCUGAGGAGCGAAAGCCAGGGGAGCAAACGGG
rnacentral:rRNA from 1 species